rnacentral:lncRNA from 10 species
AUUCACUCUGUCCUGCUGCCCUGUGAAGAAGGUGCCUGUUUCUCUUUUGCCUUCUGCCAUGAUUGUAGGUUUCUUGAGGUCUCUCCAACAAUGUGGAAGGGGGCACAAAACCUGAAAACUGCAAUUUAUAAAUCCCCUUGCCAGUGGAACCUCAGUUGUAUUUUGACAAAGAGGGAUAUUUGCAAAUUAUUCGGAGAGUAGAAGGCAAAGAUGCAUUGUUAUUACCUGGAGACAGCCACAUGUAGGUGCAUUGGUAUUGAGAGAGAGCAGACAUAGAUUUUUGCCAGCAAUUUCUGGACAUCUUUCUGAGAAGAAUCCAAUUAAGUGCUUACAGGAAGCAGAAAUCACAGGUAAAUGGAGAAAAAUCUGGAAAUAAUAGAGAUGGAAGAUUUUCAUUGCAGCAACUAUUGACCCAGCUGACCAUGAAUGAGACUUUGGAGGUUGCAUGUUGUUAAACCAACAUGUGCAGCAACAGUGCUCAGAAACCUAUGGACUAUGUCCCUCUUCCCUGACCUGCUUUCUCCUGGAAUUGCUGAAUCUUACCUCAACUUGGGCAAUCGCUUCUCUGAAUCUGAACGGCAGCUCCUAUAGAAAUGUAGAAUAUGCCUUUGACUACACCAAAAAAGAAACUUUAGAUGAAAGAAAA